AUCCUCCCGCCUUGGCCUCCCAGAGUGCUGAGAUUACAGAGAGAGAAUGCUAAUGAGCUGUGAAAUGACCAAAGAUCUGGCAGCAGAAGGGAAGAGAAAAAAUAACGGUGGAUACCAAGGUGUGAGAUUACUGAGUCAAACGAUAGGCGCAUCCAAAGUGCGAAGGACUACUGCCCAAUGUGUUCUCCAAAAAGGUUGGCCAGUUUAUAUUUCCAGGAAUAUGGAACAAGAGGAUUUAUCUGACUCAACUGGAGAUGGCUCCCUUCCCUAAUUUAUUGUUGCAUCCUGAAGCUUCCCCCAUGCUGAGCUCAGUGUGAACAAACAGCGCGGGAGGAUGUAACCACUGCAGAGGCAUAUGUUUGAGAUGUCUGGCCACUGGAGGUCGUCUCGUCUACUAUGUUCACCACAGAUAAAGAAUGAAAAGAGAAUACACAACCUUGUGAUUGCUAGCAGUGAAAGCUCAGAGUUGUGACAUAACAGUAAGUGUUUUAUUCUGCAUAACCUUAGGUUUAACAAAGGUUAUUACUAGACACUUAAAGAACAUGCUUAUAUUUUGCACAUGAGAAAAUGGAAUUAAAAAUGGGAAAAGAAUAGAGUCAUGACUCCCAAACUGUGUCCUAAGCACCCAAGACUUUGCAGCAAACUUAGAGGGGGGCUGUGGCACAUUUUAAAUAUCAAGGAAAUACA